UGCUGAAAUGCGAAGAAACAUUUAAAGAACGGAACCAACUUCAAAUCAAGCAAACACAAGCAAUACUUUGCGGCAGACAAGACGAACGAGGAAGAAGACGGCAAAGUAAACGCAAAGAAUUUUUUGGUUUCUUGAUUCUUGAAGUAAAACGAUGAAGUUGAUAACAGCAACGUUCGUUUUGAUGCUUCUUGUUCUUUCCUUUGGUGCUGAUGUGCCAAAGGUGGGAGAGUACUGUGUAUGUGAAGGUGAUGGUGUUGGAUUUCCAUGGAAAUAUGAAUGUCCAUCUUCGUAUCAUCCAAAGUGCAAGAAUGAGGACUUUCUUCCUCCGUACAUUUGCUGCAAAGUGAUGCUGGAUGAAAAACCAUUGAGUUUGUGAGUCCCUGGCAUUUAAUCAUAUAAUCAUGUUCAAUUAAGAAAUGGAGUCCAAAAAUAUAGUCAUGUUAAAUUGAGAAAUAAAAUCCUGAAGCAUAUUGAA